rnacentral:rRNA from 1 species
CGGUACGUACUGGCAUUGUUGGUUUCUCCCUUCUGACGAACCAUGAUGUCAUUUAUUUGGUGUUGUGGGGAAUCAGGACUGUUACUUUGAAAAAAUUAGAGUGUUUAAAGCAGGCUCACGCUUGAAUACAUUAGCAUGGAAUAAUGAAAUAGGACGUUUGAUUCUAUUUUGUUAGUUUCUAGGAUCGACGUAAUGAUUAAUAGGGAUAGUUGGGGGCAUUAGUAUUCAAUUGUCAGAGGUGAAAUUCUUGAAUUUAUUGAAGACUAACUACUGCGAAAGCAUUUGCCAAGGAUGUUUUCAUUAAUCAAGAACGAAAGUUAGGGGAUCGAAGACGAUCAGAUACCGUCGUAGUCUUAACCAUAAACUAUGCCGACUAGGGAUCGGAUGAUGUUAAUUUUUUAAUGACUCAUUCGGCGCCUUACG